GGCGCUUGGUUCCCCAGCAACCGGGAGACGCGUCUGCUGCGUGGAACCGCCGAGUUCCCAGCGCUUGAGAAGGAAAAUUCUGGAUCUGUUAUCUGUGAGGAGGCCACUCCAUUGACAGUUGUGUAAAACUCUGCUGCUUUCCCCAGCUCCAACCUCUCUGGUCUUCAACAACACUAUCAUCAGGGAACACGUGGGGGAAGAUGAACCGGCCGUGCAACUCGAUGGAGCCGAGGGUGAUGGACGAUGACAUGCUCAAGCUGGCCGUCGGGGACCAGGGCCCCCAGGAGGAGGCCGGGCAGCUGGCCAAGCAGGAGGGCAUCCUCUUCAAGGAUGUCCUGUCCCUGCAGCUGGACUUUCGGAACAUCCUCCGCAUAGACAACCUCUGGCAGUUUGAGAACUUGAGGAAGCUGCAGCUGGACAAUAACAUCAUUGAGAAGAUCGAGGGCCUGGAGAACCUCGCACACCUCGUCUGGCUGGAUCUGUCUUUCAACAACAUUGAGACCAUCGAGGGGCUGGACACACUGGUGAACCUGGAGGACCUGAGCUUGUUCAACAACCGGAUCUCCAAGAUCGACUCCCUGGACGCCCUCGUCAAGCUGCAGGUGUUGUCGCUGGGCAACAACCGGAUUGACAACAUGAUGAACAUCAUCUACCUCCGGCGGUUCAAGUGCCUGCGGACGCUCAGCCUCUCUAGGAACCCUAUCUCUGAGGCAGAGGAUUACAAGAUGUUCAUCUGUGCCUACCUUCCUGACCUCGUGUACCUGGACUACCGGCGCAUUGAUGACCACACAGCAAGUGUCUCCCUCUCAGUCUCCCAGCCCUGUGAGACAGAGUCCUCAAGCCCCCAGGUUUCUUGGAAAAGGGGCAUUGAAGAGUAGCUUCCCCUGCCCACAACUAGGAGAGAAAGGGCAGCUCCCUCUUCCUAAUCCCUUUACCUGACUCUGUCAGAGUGAUUCCAGCAGCACCCUUGUAAGUACUGUUUUGUGUGCGUUCCCAGGGGCCAGGCCUCUUCCACACACUGUCCCAGGGCCACCUCACAGCCAUCCUGCACUGUCUAGUUUUCCAGAUGAAGAAGCUGAGGAGGGCUGGGAGCAGUGGCUCACGCCUGUAAUCCCAGCACUUUGGGAGGCCGAGGCGGGAGGAUUGCUUGAGCCAAGGAGUUCAAGACCAGCCUGGGCAACAGAGUGAAAAAACUUCUGAUUUUCACUCUGAUGGGAGACCCCAUCUCUACAGAAACUACCAAAAUUAGCCAGGUGUGGUGGCACACACCAGUAAUCCUGGCUACUCACAAGGCCGAGGUAGAAGAAUCGCUUGAGACUAGGAGUUUGAGGCUGCAGUGAACUAAGAAGAUGCCAUUGCACUCCAGCCUGGGCAACAGAGUGAAAAAACUUAAAAAUUAGAAAAGAAAAGAAGUUGAGGAGGCCCAAGGAGGGCAAGCAGCCAGGAUCACUGGCUCAAGGCCAAGCCAGGAUUCACCCUAAGUUGGUGUCAUCCCAGGAGCAAUAUUAACAGCUGAGCUCCAGAGGGAACCAGGCCAUCAGAGGCUCAGGCCUGGCUCUCAGGGGCAGAGUCAGGGCUGGAGGUAGAGACCUGAGUGUCAUCUGAGGAUUGCCAAUUGGCAGUAGUUGAAGCCAUGGUACAGGUGGGAUCACCUGGGGCACAUGGAGUGAGCUGGGGGACGGGGACUAAGUUCUAGAGGUGCCAGCAUUCCUGGCCAGGUACAGGGGGAUGAGCCAGUGUGGUGGAGAGAGCCAAGGGCCAGACCCUCGUGACCAGCCCUAUGGCCUCACUCUACCUCUGUCCUGUUGUCCUCCUUCCCUAAAAGAGGGCCAGAAGGCCUGCUGAGGGCUGUUGGGAGUGAGAGAGCAAGUCCUCUGUGGAGAACACCCAGUCUGGGGCGAGGGGAGCACUCCAUUGCUGUGGCUCCUGCCCUGGAGAUGGCCCCGGGAACCCCAGCCUGCCACGCUGCCUUCCGCUCCUCCUGGUCUUUCCCUGAUUUCCCUGCGCUCACAAAAACCUGGUGAGGGUCAUCAGGAGAUGGGCAUUCUCAUCCACGAGACCUCAUGGCUUUCACAGCCUUCAUGCAGGCCCCUGUGCAACACCCCUGCCCAUGCGCGGGAGGCUGCAGCAUGGCAGAGGCGGCAUGGCAGAGGCGGUGUGGCUUGGAGGAACCUCUGGUAACAAUGCCACUCCCGUUCCCUGGUCAGAAAAAGCUUGCGGAGGCUAAGCACCAGUACAGCAUCGAUGAGCUGAAGCACCGGGAGAACCUGAUGCAGGCCCAGCUGGAGGACGAGCAGGCGCGGCGGGAGGAGCUAGAGAAGCACAAGACUGCGUUUGUGGAACACCUGAACGGCUCCUUCCUGUUUGACAGCAUGUACGCUGAGGACUCAGAGGGCAACAAGCUGUCCUACCUGCCUGGUGUCGGUGAGCUCCUUGAGACCUACAAGGACAAGUUUGUCAUCAUCUGCGUGAAUAUUUUUGAGUAUGGCCUGAAACAGCAGGAGAAGCGGAAAACAGAGCUUGACACCUUCAGUGAAUGUGUCCAUGAGGCCAUCCAGGAAAACCAGGAGCAGGGCAAACGCAAGAUUGCCAAGUUCGAGGAGAAGCACUUGUCGAGUUUAAGUGCCAUUCGAGAGGAGUCGGAACUGCGCAACAUUGAGAAGAUGAUCCUAGAAUGCAGUGCUGACAUCAGUGAGUUGUUCGAUGCGCUCAUGACGCUGGAGAUGCAGCUGGUGGAGCAGCUGGAGGUAAGGCUGGGCCCUGGGCACAAGUGCCAGAAUCUGGCGAUGCAGCUGCACAUCCAUAGGUGAACUGUAGCCUUCAUGGGCACGCCUCUGCUGGAAACAUCCAGCACGACUCAGCGUGGCAGGCUGUAGCUUUCUUGCUCAUCAGUACUGUUUGCUUUUAUUACAUUUUAAUCAUUUAGAUUGGAAGUGAUUCUUGUGGAAAAUGAGAGGUGAGCUCAUUCUUCUGAAAUGUUCCCCCUAUCCUGGAAGUCAGUGGGGAGAGGUUUUUGAUUAGACCCCUGGAGCUAUCCGGGUACUCUAAAGGCAAAGCGCACCCCCACUUGGGGACCAAACAAAGACCCCUCCGCAUUGCAGCCUGCAGUUGCCGCUUCUCAGGCGACGCGAGGAGGCUGCAACUCAGCACUAAGUAGUGGAAAUGAAAAGCGCCGCUGUCUGAAAUUCAUUAGCAGCCAGAGUAUGUGUUACAAGGCAGCGGAGGCUGGGAGUCUGAAGUGGUGUGAUGAAUUGAACCUCAUCGGAUGCUGCUGUGGCUGGGCCAAGUGAUAGCACCUAAUCAAUUCCUCACACGUCAAGUGACACCUCAGACAUGGGAUAGAUUUCCCCAUCACAUCACAGGGCAGGUGCUCCCUCCCUGCUGGAGAGCACAGGCACUGCAGAAGCAGCGCACAGUGCCGGGGGAGAGUGAGGCAGCAGCUCCCAGCCUUUUCAGGCACGGAGAUUGCUUUUCAACAUCCAAACAUUUCCCAGAACCCAUGUGCCAUCCUACUUGUAUUACUGGUGGCCAGAAAACCACAAGCGCAAUCAUGCUUUUCAAUGACCCUAUUUUUAUUCACGAGAACAGCACAUACAUGUGUUUGAAAAUUAUGUGAUGUGCUCACUCUGCAGACAGUACUCACAUUCCUAUAGAUUCCACCCCUGCCCACCUUGCAGCCCCUGGAGUCUAUAGCAGAUGGGAGUGGGGCACUCCGAGAGUGGCAGGCCUGGAGAUCACAUCUUCCAUUGUUCCUUCAAUCAACACUAACUCCCAUUUGGGCCUUGCUAAGCACCACAAAACAGCAACUAACUGAAAGAGAUCUGGAGUGCCAGCCCGCUCCUACUGAGGGCCUCCUCUCUGUCAGGCACCUUGCAAAGCAUUUUUUGUGAAGUGACUCAUUUAACCUCACCACAACGCCACAACGCAGGGAUUAUGCAGGUAACCUAUUUCCCAGAUGAGGAAGAUGAGGCCCAAGGAGGUGAAAUGCCUUUCCCAGAGUUACACACAGUGCUGGAGCUGGGAAUACUGACCCAGGCAGUCUAGCUCUUAACAGCUCACUCCACUGUUUCCCUGGAGGUGAUGCACAGAUGUCACUGAGAAACCCAAAGGAGAGGGGGGGUUGGCUGUGUGUGUGUGUGUGUUGGGCAGGCAGGUAAGGGGAGUAAGACCAGGACAAGUGUUCCUGGCAAAGUUCCAGUGACAGCAUUAAACAUUCAGAUGGUGAGGGAGUUAAUAUGGUUGGAGAACAACAACUUUAGAGAGAGCAGAGGGGUCAGUUCACAACCAUCUGCUCAGGAGGGUCAAGAUGGGUGGUCUUUACGCUGAAGGUCUGUGAUUAGAGGAGCUGGUUGCUAAAUUUUGAGGAGUACCUUUUGCUCUGUGCUGGACAUCUAAAUAUGCAUGUUAACUGUGUUCUUUAACAUUUCCAGGAGACUAUAAACAUGUUUGAAAGGAACAUUGUUGACAUGGUAGGACUGUUUAUCGAAAAUGUCCAAAGCCUAUAUCCUUUCUGUGAUGACCUUCCCCCAUGGGGAGGUGCUACAGAGCCCCUCGGCUUGUCCUGGCCUCUGGACAAAAGAAUGUUCCACAGGGUCUGAGGAGGUUUCCCGACCCUCAGAACAAUGAUGGCCUGGUUAGAGCUGUGGUUUGGAUGCCCAGAGGGACAACAUCCAAACUGUUUGCAGUAGGCUCCCAGCAUGAUUGUUCUCAUAUGAGUGAUGUUCACUAGGAAAUGACGCCCCCUGUGUUGCAGGCAAGCACACUCUGGGGUUGAGGCAACCCCCACGUGGAAGACACUAUAAGGAGUACAUCAGGUGAAAUGUUAGGGUGAGGAGCCAACAUUGGAGCAUGGCCAACCCUUCUUCCACCCGAACUCAGGGCACUCCACAUGGGGCAAACUGCUGUGCUCCAGCUAGCAGCAGCCCUGUGGUCCUGCCCUCCUGGGGCUCACAGUCCCUCAGGGAGACAAGUUAUAGAGGCAACAAGUGGUACCAAAUGCACAGGGUGAGAAGCAGUUAACCCAGAGGCCAGGAGCCUCCAUGCAGGAGGGAGAGAAGAGUGUGAUGGCAGGGGCCGAGGGUCCGUCCAAGGUGUGGGGCAGGGGCAGGGAGUCGGGGAAGGCCCAGGGUUCAGAGCUUGUGAGUGGACGGUGCUGCCAGCCGGAAUUUCCGAGCUCGCCUUGGGCCCUUAAAGUCUGUCUCCCGCCGUCUGAGAGCAUCAGGGACGCGCCGGGCCUGCUCCUCCCGGGCCUUUGCUUAACUCGGGGCUGCACGAUGGCCCAGUGCCGGGACCUGGAGAAUCACCACCACGAGAAGCUCCUGGAGAUCUCUAUCAGCACCCUGGAGAAGAUUGUCGAGGGCGACCUGGGCGAGGACCUGCCUAACGACCUGCGCGCGCUUUUUGUCGAUAAAGAUACGAUUGUUAAUGCUGUCGGGGCAUCGCACGACAUCCACCUCCUGAAGAUUGACAAUCGAGAAGAUGAGCUGGUGACCAGAAUCAACUCUUGGUGUACACGUUUAAUAGACAAGAUUCACAAGGAUGAGAUCAUGAGGAACCGCAAGCGCGUGAAGGAGAUCAAUCAGUACAUCGACCACAUGCAGAGCGAACUGGACAACCUGGAAUGUGGCGACAUCCUAGACUAGAUGAAUGUCAGCCACAGGAGCUUCUUCAAAACAUAGCACCAGCCCCAGCCAGGAGAAGGAAGUGCACACGCCUCACCCAGCACCUCUAGAGAGUUGCUGGGCAUCUCUCAACCGCGAUCCCCAACACCAUUCUUCCCCCACCCCUGGAAAAACUUCCAAAAGUAGAGAAAAUAAAGGACUCAUUUCACA
rnacentral:sRNA from 1 species